rnacentral:lncRNA from 1 species
ACUAGAAUAAUUAAAGAAGUCGAUCAGCCACGGGCACUUCAAACUGAUGCAAACGACGCAGAUAGCGUGAAAAGCAACGUACACUCCUUUAGAAGAUCUAUAUCAAUGUUCUUGUUUUUAUUACAUAACUGCAGGUGGCAUGGGCAGAAACACGCUACCUAGGCUGUGGUUACACACACUUCAAACUUCAACAGAACCCCAACCCGGGCCUGCCUUUUACGAAGCUCUUCGCGUGCCACUAUGCGCCAGCUGGAAACACCAUUGGUAUGUCCAUGUACAAGCGAGGAGCGUCUUGCAGCGCAUGCCAAGAUGGAACUAGCUGCGAUUCUGCCAGUGGUCUCUGCCGCACGCCCGGCGAGUCGGAUGGCAUCGGGGAAUCGGAGAGCGGCGGCGGCAGCAGUAUUGUGUGGGCAAUACUGGCGAUUGUCCUCAUCGGCUUACUAGCCGCCGCAGCUGCCGGCGUUGCAUAUUUUUACGUUCGCACUAGAACGGCCGCUCCAGAUGAACCCGAGUGAGAGACGUGGUGGCUGAAGAAGCUGCUGCAAGGUCCAAGAAUAUAAUGAACCAGCUUAUACACCUGUAAUCGCGCUUAUUAGUCAUUCCUCUUGUAUUGCGUCCUCUAUUA